UGAGAAUACCAAUCGACAUCCUUAAGUUUAAUUGUUGUGUAAAUUUAUGGAAAAGCUUGAAUCAUUGAUUGGACCGCAUGAAUAGGUGUGAUUGUGUAUCGGCUAAAUCCAGCCUCUCCAAGAACAUAUCCCCAUUCCUUCAAGGUCCUUUCUUUGCCUGUGUUUGUAUGGGCCAGCAUCACCAUGCCUAGCAUCAAUCUCACAUCUGCUAGCUUGUUUUCUUCUUUUCCAUCUUCGAUCACAGCUUCUAUGAUUAUAACUUUCCCUCUAUCGUUCAGAAUAGCUUCUCUGCACUUUUUAGGAUACGAAUACAGUCGUCGUCUCCCUAGUUGUGAAGAACCCACUCAAUUCAAAAAAAGAGAAUUAGAUCAUACUUUUCACAUAACGCAUCUUGUCUAUCAAGCAAGAAUAGAGGAACCCCAUUUUUUCUCGAUGGUAAUAAGCAAAUCACAUGAUGUGAUGGUUGAUAUGUUUGUUAACUGACAUCUUAAUUAUAUUAAGUCAUAAGUUGUGCUCCCUAGCUCUAUUGAGGUUUCAUUGGGGGAUUAAUAUUAAACAAGACGACUGCUAGCUAGCAAUUUUCAAGGCAAUAAUCUUCCUAAGUGGUUUAAUUUUAUUGGUUUCCUUAAACUAUAAAUAUACUAACCAUGAUAAGUUCAACAUCAGCCCACAAAAAAAAGUCACCUCCGACAUUCUCAAUCCGAUCACACUCCUGAGCAACAUACACAACAUAAGGAAGAUCAAAGUUGAUGCCUCGAAUCCACGGACAAGUCUCGACCAACAAGCACAACGUAGUCCCAUUACCACCACCCACACCUACUAUUGUCUCGAGCCCUUUGAACACCUCUAAACAGCUUUCAAUCACUGUAGGCACAUCUACCCUUGCAUCACAAGCCAUUGCAUCAUUGAUGAGCUUGCUGUGAUCAGGAUUGGCGGCGGCAAAGCUCCAUAAAUCUUCUCCACGCACUACCUCAAAUGACGGAUUGCUAUUUCCUCAAAGCCGGGCACUUAGGCCGUGCCAUGAUGCCAGCAUUACUGGGCUACUCUCGAGCAAAAUGAACGCAGCCACGCUAUUUUCUCCGGAUUUUAAUAGCCGUUUGGACAAAGGUUUUUGUGCAUAACCUUUGGGGCCUAAUUCCGUUGGUUUUUCUUUGAAUAUUUUGAGGUGGACUAGUACCCUCAUGACGCGGUAUAGGCGAGAAGGAUCACAACUUAGAGCAGACGAGAGCUCUAAGAGUGUCAUGGGGCUGCCAUGGCUUUCAAUUGCAUCCGCUAUCCCGAGUUCAAUGGCGCAUUUUACAACGCGAUUUUAACAAAUCCGAACACAUAUUUCCACACAUCCACUUUCGCACGCUCUUCUUCUUCUUCCCACGUUAACUCUCUUUUUGUAUCUUCCGUUUUUUCUCUGCGUGUGCGUCUUGUUGUCGAAAGCUCAACAAAAUGUGCAAGAUCGUGAGUGGAAACAAACAAUGACAAGGAAGAGAUAAACAAACAAUGAAACCAAGUAACACACAGAAAUAAUGGGUUAGUUGGUCUCUUUUCACUCUAUUUCAUUGGCUCCGUAAGAAGCUCUUUAUAUUACAAACUAUAUAGCCAAUAUCUAAAACCAUUAACUACAUGUUCCCACCUCACUUGACAACAUUUAUUGCGAGUACUAGCUAUUUGGGUUAAUAUUUGAACAUUGGACUACAAGUAUGUGGAAGCCCAAUGAUGCCGAUUAAAAGAAAACUUGCCCGAAACCCAUCAUCGAGCCCAUAGACAAGUUGGCACCUUCCCAUUAAUGCAUAGGUCAUGUGCCUAUGAUUUAAAAUGUCAAGUGAUGGGGACUAACUCACAAUCGGCCAAAAACCACUUUUCAGUGGCAACACAAGUAAAAAGCUGAUGACUCACUACCCUCCAAGUGUUUUCGGGCAAGAGCAAAGUCACUAUAGUCGGGCUAAACUGCCUAUAAAAGGAGGAAGAGGCCCAAGAGACAAAGAUACUCAACCAAUCAAACAAACAAACAUACAAAUUCUGGUCUCAAGCCAGAUUUGCAUCUAAAAGCUGUAAUCAGCCCAGAUCUCAAUAAUUUUAGGAUCAUUCCCUACAAAAGCCAUCUUUUGUCUAGUUUAGAAGCUCUGCUAUCACCCCUAGUGGCUUAGUAUCGAUUCCCUUGUGUAAACUUGUUUACCAUCCAUCCCUUUUUUAGCAUAUAAACCCUGUAAACUCAAAAGAGAAGUGAUUGCAAGAAGUUCAACCUUACCCGACAAGGUGAAAUCUUGCUCAAAGCUCUUUGUUUGUUUUAUAAGUUAAUAGAUCUACUACUUAAUGUCUUCUCCAACAUGUUUUCAAGUCAUUUCCAUCAGUUUUCCCAUUAUAAGUGUUCCAUUUGCAUCCAGAUCUGGUUAGUUUAAUGGACAUGCUAUCAUUAAAAUCAAUCAAGAACCAAGUAAAUGACUUAAGGGGAUCUGAACUCCCUCCAUUCGAACAUACAAGACUAUGAACUAAAAGACCUUGUUCGCAAGGCAAGAAAAAGAACUUAAUGUGGACUUAACCCAUCCACGACAAUCCUUUGAUAACAAGAAGUUUGAGUAACUUGGGGCACAAGUAAUUGACUAAACACAAUCUUGUUCUACAUUUGCUAUACUGAGAUAGUAGUGCACGCCUAGCACUUGGUUAGUUUUGAUUGCGAGCCUCAAUGCCUAUACCUAAGUCCCCACAAAGGCACAUUUCAAAACUAACUCUAUCCUUUUCUUGCAGCACAUUAGCAAGCAAGAGUCUGACUACACAUCUAGACCCGGCAGUUUCUGACACGACACGGUGACACGACACGAAAAUGACACGAAAAUACCGAGUUUCGGGUCAACAUGAUAACUUAUCGAGUGACCCGUUAAGAACCCGUUAAUAACGGGUUCUUAACGGGUAUACACGCGGGUAACACGUGGGUAACCUGUUUCGACCCGUUAAGAAAAAAAUUAUUUUGAUAAUUUUAAAGUUUAAUUACUAAAAGAUUUAUUAUAAAAUACAAUAGCCAUAUUAAUAUAUACAAUAUAUUCUAUAUUAAAUAUAUAGUUUUGUAUUAUUAUUCUUUAUAAGUUAAAAAAAAAGUUUUAGUCAUUAUUUAUUUUUAUUAUGAGAGCUCCUUAUUAUCAUUAUCAGGAUAAAUAUUACUUAACAUAUUGUUGUCCAAAAUUAAAAUAAACUAAUAUAGUAUUUGUAUAGGCAAGAACUAAGAAGACACACAUACAAGUAUGAAAAAUGUGAAAGAAUAUAUAAACACUCGUGAUUCAUCAUUAUUCCUCCACGAGUAGAUAAUGGUUACACUUACAUUAUCGUUUAGAUUUUUAAAAUCCUCCAAACCUUCAUGAAUAAUGUUUUUUAUUUGAGGGAAAAAUUAAUAAAAUUAAUAAUUAUUAUUGUAUAAGUGUAAAAAAUGUAAAAAAAAAAAUACAAUCACUCAUAGUGACAAACUUUACAACUUUCAUGAAGGGGUUAGCUUCGAAAUCCAGCACUAUAAUUCAUAAACCUUAAAUUUAUAUUUAACCGUCGAUUGCCAUUUACGCUUUAUUCUUCUUACUGAAUUUCAUUUUUAAAAUUUUCUUUUUUGAAAACAUGAUCAUUUGGCGGAUGUAAGAAGAUAAACGGUUUAGAUCUUUGAUAUCAUGUUUCGAUAUUUAUGUUUAAUUGAAAUAUGAGUCGAUGUCAUAUAGUUUGUAGAAACUUUAUAAACAUCAAGCAAUAUUUUCACUAACCGUAAAACUCUGAAUAUAAUAUCAAUGAUCCAAACCGUUCAUCUUCCUGCAUCCUCUAAUAUAUCAAGUUUUCAAAAAAGAAAAUCUGAAAAAAAAUAAAAUUUGAUGAGAACAAUGAAGCGUAAAUGUAAACAACAAUCAACGGUUAAAUUUUGAUCUAUGAUUUAUAUGAUUAUAGUGGCGAAUUUCAAAGUGAAGCUCUUCAUGAAAGUUGUAAAACUUGUCAUUACGAGCGUUUCUACAUUUUUCUAUAUUUUUUUUACACUUCCACAUUAAUUAAAAAAUUAUUAAAGACUUUAGGUAAGUGAAAAUAUACUUAAAAGAAAAAUGUGUUUUUAUGUUUUGGACGUGACAAUAUGGUAUGUAUAUAUUUAUUUAGUAUUAUGUUUUUCAUUUUAUUAUUUAUAGGUUUAAAAUAUAUUUUCCUUAACGGGUAAUGGGUCGGAUCAUAUUACCUGUUAAUAUUAUCAAGUCAAUUUGGAGUCGGGUCAUUUUACCCGUUUAUUUUAACGUGUGUUACACGACACGACCCGUUAAGAUAUCGGGUAUGACACGAAAACGACACGAACACGAAAAUCACGACACGAAUGCCAGGUUACCAAUUCCUUGGGGAGUUGUGUUGAGAGCCGAUGAGCUCUCUCCGGAGAAAUCUUCGCCUGAACACCAGCCAUGUCCAUGUUGACAGCUAGCUCUUAUCAGUGUCAUUACCAGAAAUUCUGGUUUGCCCUGCUAAAUUUUGAGGGGACAAAAUUUUGUAAAUUAACUUCUUCGUACCCCCGACAACUUCACAGGUUCGUAGGGUUAGUAAAGUCAACAUUUUAGGUUUACUAGAAAAUCUUUUGAGAUGGAACAAUGUCGCAGGGUAAAAAUAAUUCCGUAGGGAAAAAAUUUGGCGGCAAAGGAAAAAUUUGGGGCGCAAUUAAUGAGGUUUUAUGGGGUUGAUAGCUGUUCAUCAUGUAAAUACAGUUUAACUGACGGAUUAAUUCAUCGCGUAAGAUUAUGUGGUCGUCUACAAAAGCCUAGUUUAUGACGUGUAAAAGAACAGGGAAACAUGUACUUACGAGACGAGUAAUUGAAAUAGUGCGACGACGGAUUCCGUUGGGUAAGAUGUGGUUCACCAUUUUGCUCAGACUGCUGCCUUGUUCCCCCAUUUACCCCUCACCCUUUUUCAUUGUUGUGCUUUCUGCAGGCCCCAUGCUGUCCCCCGUUGCAUCUCUCUCCAUCUCUUCCUCUUCGAAAUAUUUGAAGGUUAGUUUAUUUUGAGUUUGUCAUUAUUUUUUCCUUUGAAUGUGUUAUUUACGAUUAAUUUUUAGUGGUAAGCAUUAACUUAUUUAGUUGUGAUAUUUGUACAUGUUGAAUUGUGUAGGAUGUGAAAUUUGUAGUUGUUUUUGAAAUAUAUGUGGAGUAGGGAAAUUUAAUUUGUGUAGCAUUAUUAGUGUAGGACUUCAUGGUGUGAAAAUUGGUAAAAUUUCAUUCUGUUUAUAUGAAUUUAAUUAUGUUGAAUUAAAUUCGUAUAAUAAAAUCGAAAAAAACCUUAGAUCCAUUUGAGAUUUUGUUGGAAACACGUGUAGAUGUAGUAUGCGGCUCCACAAUCUAACUUAAUCUUGAAUUGACCAGUUCGAACAAUUUGGGAGUGCACUAGUAUAUGUGGGUUUGCAAUGAAUUUGGCUAAGUUUCGGUUGUGAAAAAUUCGGUUGUAUCCUCCUAUUAUUCUUCGAGUGCCUAGUAGAUAUUUAUCUGUAAUAUCAAAUUAAAUAUAUUUUUCUAGAGAUAAUUUUCAGAUGAUAAAUAGAAUAAAGAGUUUUGAAUAUGAUAUUUGUACGUUCAAAAGAUAUCCGUUUUGCCGUUGUUACAUAGAGAGGCAAUUAUCACCAUAUUAACAAAAACAACAUUAACUCAUAUACGCCAAAUAUUGUCUCGUAUAUGCAUGAAACGAGAAGAGCACUACAGAAGUGUUGUGCAAACAACAACAACAACAACAAAGCCUUUUCCCACUAAGUGGGGUCGGCUAUAUGAAUCCUAGAACGCCAUUGCGCUCGGUUUUGUGUCAUGCCCUCCGUUAGAUCCAAGUACUCUAAGUCUUUUCUUAGAGUCUCUUCCAAAGUUUUCCUAGGUCUUCCUCUACCCCUUCGGCCCUGAACCUCUGUCCCGUAGUCACAUCUUCGAACCGGAGCGUCAGUCGGCCUUCUUUGCACAUGUCCAAAUCACCAGAGCCGAUUUUCUCUCAUCUUUCCUACAAUUUCGGCUACUCCUACUUUACCUCGGAUAUCCUCAUUCCCAAUCUUAUCCUUUCUCGUGUGCCCACACAUCCCACGAAGCAUCCUCAUCUCCGCUACACCCAUUUUGUGUACGUGUUGAUGCUUCACCACCCAACAUUCUCUGCCAUACAACAUCGCUGGCCUUAUUGCCGUCCUAUAAAAUUUUUCCUUGAGCUUCAGUGGCCUACGACGGUCACACAACACGCCGGAUGCACUCUUUCCAUCCAGCUCGUAUUCUAUGGUUGAGAUCUCCAUCUAAUUCUCCGUUCUCUUGCAAGAUAGAUCCUAGGUAACGAAAACGGUCGCUUUUUGUGAUCUUCGCUAGAUUGCUCCGGUCAUUAGUGUGGAUAAGUAUAUAAAUGGAUAGAGAUAGGAAAACAAACACAAGAUGUACGUGGUUCACCCAGAUUGGCUACGUCCACAGAAUAGAAGAGUUCUCAUUAAUUGUGAAGGGUUUACACAAGUACAUAGGUUCAAGCUCUCCUUUAGUGAGUACGAGUGAAUGAUUUAGUACAAAUGACAUUAGGAAAUAUUGUGGGAGAAUGAUCUCGUAAUCACGAAACUUCUAAGUAUCGGAGUGUGGUGUCGUCUUGACUUGCCUUAUCGGUCUCAUAGGUAGAUGUGGCAUCUUCUCUGGAAGUACUCUUCCUCCAUCCAGGGGUGGUAUCUUUAACUGGUGGAGAUGCACAAGGUAAUGUAUCAAUUUCACUUGAAGCUUACUUGUAGUUUCAGGCUUGGUCAAGCGCGAUACAAACCAUGUAGUAGGAGUCCCCCAAGUCGCCGAGCUAGGGGGUCUGCUGAAAGAGGUGACAGACAAGGUAAGCAAUCAGAGCUCCGACUGAUUGUUCACCUUCUCCCCAUCUUGCAGCAGCAUGAAGGAUAAAGAGAAGAAAAAUGAGAAGAGAUGAUAUGAGAUACUUUUGCUUUUGAAGAAGUAACUUUCCACAGGCUUAUUCUUGAACUGAGCUGGAGGGUUUUCUGGUUUCCUCCAGAGUAUAAGGCCGACUGAAGAAUUUGAGGGUCAAAACAAGUCCAUCAAAUCUAGAGUACGUUCCACCCUGCUGAUAUGGGAUACUUUUGCUUUUGACAGAGUAAUGGAUGUAUCGGCACGUGUGCUGUUACGCUUGUCUCCACAUGCUUCCUUGUAUCCUUCGCACUUGCCCUAUCUGUUCCUCAAGCAGAUGCGGAAUCUUCCCUGGAAACAUAAGAUGAUGAAGAUGAGUACUCGAGAGCAAUGCCAGGUAAGUAAUCAGGUAAGGGGUUCCAGGCAGUCAGUUCCUGGCUGGAAGCUUGAUUCCAAGUGCUGACUGAUUGCUCUCUUUCUCCUUGUCUUGCAGGUAAAAACAAGGCCAAAAGAAAAAACAGGGAAAAAGCAUGAUAUGGGAUACUCUUGCUUUUAACCCUGAUGAUAUGAGAUAUUCUUGCUCUAGUAUAGCUUGUUUGCAGAGGUAUUAUCGGGGGGAAAGAAAGCUGAAUAUUUCGAAAGGCUUUGUUGGGAGUGCCCUCUCAGAUAUGAUGAAGGGUUGAGCAUUUUUGCAGGUCUGCCUGUCCGUUGGGGAUGGAGGUCGACAUAUAUAGGAGUCUCCCUAACAACAAGUAGUAAUGCUAUUCCUUUACCCUGCUUGGUCAUAGCACGGUAGUGGGAGCUGCCAGUUUCACAUGUUUUAACUCUGUCAGAGCACUUUGAAAAAGUGGUCUGUGGUAUCUGGCUCUCGAGAUUCGGAGAACGAUGCCUCUUCGAUUUUUUGAGAAAGCAAUCAUGCUGGGGGUCUGACUCUCGAGAUUCGGAGAGCAGUGUCUCUUCGAUUUUUGAGGAAGUAAUCAUGUUGGGAGUCUGGCUCUCGAGAUUCGGAAGGCGGUGCCUCUUCGAUUUUGGAGCAAGCAAUCUUGUUGGGAGUGUUGUCUCGAAUGUGAGUAAAGGUUGGACAUGUUUGCUAGUCUACCUUGCCACGAAGCACAAAGGUUGACACACAGGGACUUUCCAAUUAUCCAGCAAUGGUACUGUUCCUUUACCCUCUCUUCGAUUUUGAGAAAGUAGUCAUGUUGGGAGUCUGGCUCUCGAGAUUCGGAGGACGGUGCCUCUUUCGAUUUUGGAGCAAGCAAUCUUGUUGGGACUGUUUUCUCGAAUGUGAGUAAAGGUUGGGCAUGUUUGCUAGUCUACCUUGCCACGAAGCACAGAGGUUGACACACAGGGACUUUCCAAUUAUCCAGCAGUGGUACUGUUCCUUUACCCUUGUGGGUAAUAAUAUGGUAGCUAGACCUUCAAAAUUUAUGUGUCUAAACUUUGUUAGUGCUGUUUCUUUGCUAUUCUUUUACCUUUCUUGGUCAGAGCGAUGUAGUGGGAGCUGCAAGCUUCACGUGCUCAACUUUGGCAGAGAACUUUGGCAAAGUGAUCUGUGGUACCCAUGAGUUAUUGUUGCGUGUGGGAAGUGGGUGAUUGAACAUUAAGAUUCAUGUGCUUUCUACUUCACCAGAAGUCUUCGACAGAAUGCCCAUAAUUUCUGCAAAGCUGAGUGUGCGUGUGACAGGUGCUGACAAGGCUAGAAAAGUAGAUGCCUCUUCGAUUUCUGAGAUCGGCCCUCGUGGUCUCUGAGCAGCCCAGCUUUUGAGAAAGCGAGCGCCUCUUCGAUUGAUUCGGAGAACGGUGCCUCACCGAUUUUUGAGAAAGCAAUCAUGCUGGGGGUCUGGCUCUCGAGAUUCGGGGAGCAGUGUCUCUUCGAUUUUUUUGAGAAAGUAAUCAUGUUGGGAGAGUGGCUCUCGAGAUUCGGAGGGCGGUGCCUCUUCGAUUUUGGAGCAAGCAAUCUUGUUGGGAGUGUUUUCUCGAAUGUGAGUAAAGGUUGGGCAUGUUUGCUAGUCUACCUUGCCACGAAGCACAGAGGUUGACACACAGGGACUUUCCAAUUAUCCAGCAAUGGUACUGUUCCUUUACCCUCUCUUCGAUUUUUAAGAAAGUAGUCAUGUUGGGAGUCUGGCUCUUUAGAUUCGGAGGACGGUGCCUCUUCGAUUUUGGAGCAAGCAAUCUUAUUGGGAGUGUUUUCUCGAAUGUGAGUAAAGGUUGGGCAUGUUUGCUAGUCUACCUUGCCACGAAGCACAGAGGUUGACAUACAUGGACUUUCCAAUUAUCCAGCAGUGGUACUGUUCCUUUACCCUUGUGGGUAAUAAUAUGGUAGCUAGACCUUCAAAAUUUAUGGGUCUAAACUUUGUUAGUGCUGUUUCUUUGCUAUUCUUUUACCCUUCUUGGUCAGAGCGAUGUAGUGGGAGCUGCAAGCUUCACGUGCUCAACUUUGGCAGAGAACUUUGGCAAAGUUAUCUGUGGUACCCAUGAGCUAUUGUUGCGUGUGGGAAGUGGGUGAUUGAACAGUAAGAUUCCUGUGUUUUCUACUUCCCCAGAAGUCUUUGACAGAAUGCCCAUAAUUUCCGCAAAGCUGAGUGUGCGUGUGACAGGUGCUGACAAGGCUGGAAAAGUAGGUGCCUCUUCGAUUUCUGAGAUCGGCCCUCGUGGUCUUUAGGGAGCCCAGCUUUUGAGAAAGCGAGCGCCUCUUCGAUUUCUGAGAUCGGCCUUCGUGGUCUUUGAGCAGCCCAACUUUUGAGAAAGCAAACGGCUCUUCGAUUUCUGAGAUCAACCCUCGUGAUCUCUAAGCAGCCCAACUUUUGAGAAAGCAAACGCCUCUUCGAUUUCUGAGCAGGCGCCUCUUUGAUUUCUGAAGCUCCGUCGAGUGCAGAUUUUUAUAGAGGCUGGCAUUAAGUUCCAAAGCACACUUGAAUCUCCACCAGUAGAAGCUUCAUUCUUGCACUUCUAAGAUCUUGAUUUGUCCGACCUCUUCUCUCUUCAACACCUUUGAAAAUGUCUGGUCCCUCCGACCGUCGUUUUGACUUGAACCUUGUUGAAGAGGCAGCCCCGCCUUCUCCAGACAACAUAUGGCGCCCAUCCUUCGUCUCCCCAACUGGUCCUCUUACCGUUGGGGAUUCCGUGAUGAAGAAUGAUAUGACUGCUGCGGUGGUGGCCAGGAACCUUCUCACUCCCAAAGAUAACAGACUACUUUCCAAACGGUCUGAUGAGUUAGCUGUUAAGGAUUCGCUGGCUCUCAGUGUUCAGUGUGCAGGUUCUGUGUCUAAUAUGGCCCAACGCCUAUUUGCUCGAACCCGCCAAGUUGAAUCAUUGGCGGCUGAAGUGAUGAGUCUCAAACAGGAGAUUAGAGGGCUCAAGCAUGAGAAUAAACAGUUGCACCGGCUCGCACAUGACUAUGCUACAAACAUGAAGAGGAAGCUUGACCAGAUGAAGGAAACUGAUGGUCAGGUUUUACUUGAUCAUCAGAGAUUUUGUGGGUUUGUUCCAAAGGCAUUUAUUGCCUUCGUCUUCUGGGGCUGUACCGCGCGUAAUGAAGCUCCAAAUGAUCAACCUCUGAUGCCUCCUCCUUCUAGGGUUCUGUCCAGUACUGAGGCUCCAAAUGAUCCCCCUCCGGUGCCUUCUCUUUCUGGGGCUCUACCGACUGCUGAGACUUCUCCUAAGCAACCUUUGUGAAGGUUCCCUCUUGUGUGUUUAUUUUGACUCAUGUAUAUGUACAUAUUUGUAGCUUAUCGGGGAUAUCAAUAAAUAAGCUUUCCUUCAUUUCAACGUAUUGUGUUAAAUACACCAAAGCCUUCUUCGCUAAGUUCUUUGAAUUUUCUUUUGUUGAAGCUUGUAUGUUGAAGCUUUCUGAGUGGAGCAUGUAGGUUGGGGUAGUGUUCCCUUAAUUUCCCGAGUGAGGAAAACUUAUUGGUUGGAGACUUGGAAAAUCCAAGUCACUGAGUGGGAUCGGCUAUAUGAAUCUUAGAACGCCAUUGUGCUCGAUCCUGUGUCAUGUCCUUCGUUAGAUCCAAGUACUCUAAGUCUUUUCUUAGAGUCUCUUCCAAAGUUUUCCUAGGUCUUCCUCUACCCCUUCGGCCCUGAACCUCUGUCCCAUAGUCGCAUCUUCUAAUCGGAGCGUCAGUAGGCCUUUUUUGCACAUGUCCAAACCACCGUAACCGAUUUUCUCUCAUCUUUCCUUCAAUUUCGGCUACUCCUACUUUACCCCGGAUAUCCUCAUUCCUAAUCUUAUCCUUUCUCGUGUGCCCACACAUCCAACGAAGCAUCCUCAUCUCCGCUACACCCAUUUUGUGUACGUGUUGAUGUUUCACCGCCCAAAAUUCUGUGCCAUACAGCAUCGCUGGCCUUAUUGCCGUCCUAUAAAAUUUUCCCUUGAGCUUCAAUGGCAUACGGCGGUCACACAACACGCCGGAUGCACUCUUCCACUUCAUCCAUCCAGCUUGUAUUCUAUGGUUGAGAUCUCCAUCUAAUUCUCCGUUCUUUUUGUAAGAUAGAUCCUAGGUAACGAAAACGGUCGCUCUUUGGUAUUUCUUGAUCUCCGAUCCUCACCCCUAACUCGUUUUGGCCUCCAUUUGCACUGAACUUGCACUCCAUAUAUUCUGUCUUUGAUCGGCUUAGGCGAAGACCUUUAGAUUCCAACACUUCUCUCCAAAGGUUAAGCUUUGCAUUUACCCCUUCCUGAGUUUCAUCUAUCAACACUAUAUCGUCUGCGAAAAGCAUACACCAAGGAAUAUCAUCUUGAAUAUGUCCUGUUAACUCAUCCAUUACCAACGCAAAAAGGUAAGGACUUAAGGAUGAGCCUUGAUGUAAUCCUACAGUUAUGGGAAAGCUUUCGGUUUGUCCUUCAUGAGUUCUUACGGCAGUCUUUGCUCCUUCAUACAUAUCCUUUAUAGCUUGGAUAUAUGCUACUCGUACUCCUUUCUUCUCUAAAAUCCUCCAAAGAAUGUCUCUUGGGACCCUAUCAUACGCUUUUUCCAAAUCUAUAAAGACCAUGUGUAAAUCCUUUUUCCCAUCUCUAUAUCUUUCCAUCAAUCUUCUCUCGUAAAUUUGAGGAAAUUAAUUAGAAUCUAAUAUUGUUAAUGAUUAAAAUAAAUUGUUUGAACUAAAUAUUGUAGAGACUCCUCCAAAGAGAGUUGACCUUUUCAAAAAUUCUCAAAGGCACAAGACUAAACCCAAGCCUAAAAUGGAGUUUGGAAAUAGUUUUCAACCAGCUAUAGACGCGCUUUGGUUAGAACCUCAUUAGCUGCGUAAUUGCCCCAAGCGCAAAGAUGACAACACAUUGUGGUUGGCUCCAGGCGUUUGCAACUCUACAUUCUUCACUUGACCAAUGUGGGACAAAGUUUUUCUCUUAAAUAUGUCUCAAGACUCUUAACAAUCUAACACAUCACACAAUUAUAUAUUAUUGUCAAAACAAUCCAAAUAUUACAAGCCAGAUGACAAAGCAACAACACUAGAAAAUUACCUUUGAAAACAAAAAAGCACUUAUUGAGAAUACCAAUCGACAUCCUUAAGUUUAAUUGCUGCAUAAAUUUAUGGAAAAGCUUGAAUCACUGAUUGGACUGCAUGAAUAGGUGUGAUUGUGUAUCGGCUAAAUCCAGCCUCUCCAAGAACAUAUCCCCAUUCCUUAAAGGUCCUCUCUUUGCCUGUGUUUGUAUGGGCCAGCAUCACCAUGUCUAGCAUCAAUCUCACAUCUGCUAGCUUGUUGUCUUCUUUUCCAUCUUCUUCGAUCACAGCUUCUAUGAUUAUAACUUUCCCUUUAUCGUUCGGAAUAGCUUCUCU
rnacentral:lncRNA from 1 species